AGCGAACGCUGGCGGCAGGCCUAACACAUGCAAGUCGAACGAACUCUUCGGAGUUAGUGGCGGACGGGUGAGUAACACGUGGGAACGUGCCUUUAGGCUCGGAAUAACUCAGGGAAACUUGUGCUAAUACCGAAUGUGCCCUUCGGGGGAAAGAUUUAUCGCCUUUAGAGCGGCCCGCGUCUGAUUAGCUAGUUGGUGAGGUAAUGGCUCACCAAGGCGACGAUCAGUAGCUGGUCUGAGAGGAUGAUCAGCCACAUUGGGACUGAGACACGGCCCAAACUCCUACGGGAGGCAGCAGUGGGGAAUCUUGCGCAAUGGGCGAAAGCCUGACGCAGCCAUGCCGCGUGAAUGAUGAAGGUCUUAGGAUUGUAAAAUUCUUUCACCGGGGACGAUAAUGACGGUACCCGGAGAAGAAGCCCCGGCUAACUUCGUG
rnacentral:rRNA from 1 species